rnacentral:rRNA from 1 species
UACGUAGGUGGCAAGCGUUGCCCGGAUUUACUGGGUGUAAAGGGCGUGCAGCCGGAGAGACAAGUCAGAUGUGAAAUCCACGGGCUCAACCCGUGAACUGCAUUUGAAACUGUUUCCCUUGAGUGUCGGAGAGGUAAUCGGAAUUCCUUGUGUAGCGGUGAAAUGCGUAGAUAUAAGGAAGAACACCAGUGGCGAAGGCGGAUUACUGGACGAUAACUGACGGUGAGGCGCGAAAGCGUGGGGAGCAAACAGG